CCUACGGGAGGCAGCAGCAAGGAAUCUUCCGCAAUGGGCGAAAGCCUGACGGAGCAACGCCGCGUGUGGGAUGACGCCUUUCGGGGUGUAAACCACUUUUCUCAGGGAAGAAGCACUGACGGUACCUGAGGAAGAAGGACCGGCUAACUACGUGCCAGCAGCCGCGGUAAUACGUAGGGUCCGAGCGUUGUCCGGAGUUACUGGGCGUAAAGCGCGCGCAGGCGGCGGAGUAAGCAUGGCGUGAAAGCCCCAGGCUCAACCUGGGAGGGUCGUCGUGGACUGCUUCGCUUGAGGGCGGUAGGGGCUGGUGGAAUGCCUGGUGUAGUGGUGAAAUGCGUAGAGAUCAGGCGGAACACCCGUGGCGAAGGCGGCCAGCUGGGCCGUCCCUGACGCUGAGGCGCGAAGGCGUGGGGAGCGAACGGGAUUAGAUACCCCGGUAGUCCACGCAGUAAACGAUGCAGACUAGGCGUGGGGGGAGUUGACCCCCUCCGUGCCGGAGCCAACGCGGGAAGUCUGCCGCCUGGAGAGUACGGCCGCAAGGCUAAAACUCAAAGGAAUUGACGG
rnacentral:rRNA from 1 species